rnacentral:lncRNA from 1 species
GAAAAUUGUCAACCACUCCUUCCUUAGGGGGUAAAAGCAACAUUCAGCACCGGGGGCAGGUCAAGGCAAGGCUGGCUCCCGUCUCCAGGCCCCAAGGAGCCACACCUGGACCAGACCCCAGGAAAGGCAAGGGCGCUAGCUGGUGGGAGCCACCCCGCCAUGCUGAUGUCAGAGAAGCAAGAACUCUGGAGAAGCAGCCUCCUGGGACCAGAGGAGGGCCAGCAGCAGGCAGCCCGGAGACAGAACUGUGAGCCCACCCCACCUCCACCCUUCCGGCACCCACAUCCGCUCCCCACCCCAGCCCACCUGCAGGUGGCUCCUGGAGUAUCCUGGGUCCCUCAGGAUAAACUCCCCACCCUAACCUCAGAAUGACCAAGAAACUGGGCCUGAGGAUGACAAGAAGCAGAAUGGGCCUUGGUAAAGGAAGACCCCCCACUGAUUGGUGGCAGUGCGGGCAGUUCAGGGCUGUCAGCGUCUGGGUUGUAGGUAAAAAGAAAUGGAACCCAAGAAGGGAAAUCCAACUAGGAGCCAAGAAUCCGGUCUACCCCAUCCUCCUUACGAAAUAGCAAUGCAAAGCCCGUGUGAUUUGGACAUAAAGCCUCUGUUACUCAACUUGAUUCGGUGAAUAACAGACUUGAAAGAAAUGUGGAAAAUAAUAGUAAUCUUCCCUAGAAAGGAGUAAACAGGGUUGAGCUCCCAAAGCAGGAAGACCUGGGGCUGUGUGAUCUUGGACGAGUCACUCAACCUCUCUGAGCCUAGUGAUAAAGAGCCAGCUCAUAGGGCUUUGAGAGGAUUUGUGAGGUUGGGCUGGUGUCCCCAGGCACAGCCCUUGGCACAUAGUGAAACUCAAGAAAACAGAGCAGUUUUUACCAUUCAUCACAUUAUUCCCACACUUGCCAAUUUUUUAAGUUCAUGCACAUGGUGGAACAGGUAGGGUGAGGUGCCAGCUCCAUAAGAUGAGUGGAGAAACUGAGGCCUGGAGAGGUGAAAGCAUUCACUCAGAGUUGCAUGUAGAGUCAGUUGCAAAGGAGAAUUCUGGCACCAGUUCUCAUGUGGAUGGAAAAAGUGCAGGAAGAUUUGGAGGUGAGCAGAGGAGAAGGGAGGAGGAGGCCGGGUUCCAGGAAAGGAGCUGACAUCCAGGGAUGUGGGACAAGGCCCAGGCCUGUCUUACAUAACAUGGUCCACCUGUUCACCCCUGCAGGCCCCACAAAUGUGUGCAAACGUGCACCCCGGCACAGCGCACACCCAGUCCUCCCUCACUGGCAAAUAAGCCACAGAGACUGGGUUUAAACAAAUUGGAUUAGGAGGGCUACAGGCGCCUCCUCCCCCCGACUGUCCGGCUCCGACACUAAACAGACCUGCAGAACUGCCAGCUGUGGUCUCUCGGACACACUGACAGUCGGUCCUUGGCUCCCUCACCCCACCCGUGGGCCUCAGGAAGGGGGUUGGGGUCUGAGAGGAUGCCACAGUGAUGGAUGGGGUGAGGGAGGUUCCAGGGCUAGCUCAACAGCGCACAGGAUGUUAGUGCUUUUGCGAGGCACAUUUCCGAGCUGUUCCCAGACCCGCCCCCACUUCCCCCCUCACCCUCCCCUCCGGCAGCCUCUCCCAUGGCCACUGCUGCGGGCUGUGAGCAGAGCCCCGUCCUUGAGCAGAUUGACCUCAUCUUUCAGUCCUGCAGCUGGGCUGAGCGGGGAGUCAGCUCAGAAGACACUGGCCUGGGGAUGAGACUCGGGGCAUGCUUCAGAGGGAAGAAAGAGCUUCUGAACAGACAAUGCUGUCUUAAAGGUGGCAUCUUGGUGCUUUCUCAUGCCUUGUUUUCUUUCAUCCUCAGAAUGUGUCUGGGGGUGAGAGGACGGGUGUGACUGCUGAAACUUCCUUUCUUGGUGAUUCCACAUCACUCCUUUCUGAUCCCUGAGCCUGUGCCACGCCCUGUGUGAUGUGCCGGGGACACCAGGGUGAAUACUUACAGGCCCUGUUCCCCUUCCUUCAUGAAACAGCCUCCUUCGGGCUGGGUCACUGGGCACUGGGGCCUCCCUGGUCUUCCAGGAUUGCAACUUCACAGAAUCCCUUUUCCAUAAGGCACAUGAAAGUGACUGUGACCCGCAACGGGAGCCUUGACAACCAGCCAAUUCAGAACACAGACCUUGACAUCGGAAGGCCCCGAGUUCAAAUCCUGCCUUGCUCCCUUUCAGCUGGAAAGCUGUGGUCAAAUUACUUAGCCUCUCCAAGCCAGUUUUCCCUUCUGCAAAAUGAGGUUACACAAGCUGCCACCUCACAGAAUGAGUGUGAGAAUUAAUUCUUAUUUUCCACACCCUCAUUUGACAGGGGGAGAAACAGAAGCCCAGAGAGGGAAAGGGCUUGGUUAGGAUCACACCAUGAGUUGGGGGUUAAGUCAGGAUGGGGUAGGUCCCCUCUUUCUCUGGGUGUUCCUCUCCCCCAUCCCUUAUCUCAACAUAAAUCCUCCCCAGUUGCCCAGGUUGUCCAGGCGAUUCCUGGCACACGUCCUGGGGCCUGCCCUCCACCUUUAGCCCUGCUCUGGCUUCUGCAGCAGCAGAGUCCUGGGUGACCAGCAGUGGCCCCUGGCCCUCUGAGUGGUGGUGGAGGGUGGGGGUGCACUGCAGCAAGCUCCCAGCCCAGAGCAGCCUGGCCAUAUAAGGGAAGGAGCUCAGGGAGGCCUCCUGGCUCAGGCCUGGCGAGAAAACCCAGACAGCCACUGUUUAUUUUCUCCUCCCCAGCUCACCCACGCCUCUCCAAGCCUCCCAACAGAAGACAGAGGUCCCCCACAGCCAGAGACAUUUCCUGAAGACAUGGGGAACACAGAGGCAGAAACAGCCCAUCCACCCAGGAGCUGUCCCCCACACUGCCGGGAGCCGGCACCCAGAGCCGCCAGGUAAAACUGAGGCCACCUGGUUCAACAUCACCUUUCACAGAAGGGGAAGCAGCCACAGAAAGAAGGGCCUCGUUAAGAAGUGGAACCUGGGACCCCCAAGCGGUGUCUCUCAUCCUGACUGGGGAUCCAGAGUAGGAGGGAGCCUUUGGUGGGACACAAAGGAACAGAACGAGGCACCAACAGCAAGGGGCAAGCAGAUUCAAGGGCCACAGAGGAGAUGGAGGCAAACACCUUCCCCUGGUCAGAGGCUGUGCCUCAGCCCUUCUCCCUGCAUCAGUUUCUCCUUCAGAAGCAUGGGACUACCUCCCAUCUAGUUCUCGUUUCUAAACCUAGGGGAGAUGCUAUCUUUGCUGCAAUAAUCUUAGCCUACAUCUUGGAAUGGAAAUGGCCUUGGUGGAAAUGGUCUUCAACUCCUCUGGUCCAAGCUCAGGCCCUGUGACCCUGGAACAAUCCCCUUCCUGGUCCUCCAUGUAGGAGCAAUAACAUUCCCUUGCCAGCAGCACCAGCCAUUCUGAUGAUUAAAUGGUAUCGGACUCUGUUUUCCAAACUCAGUCAUUCAGAUGCCCCCUAUUUUAUUUCUUCCAUGUCUGCAAAUGAUUAUAAUAUUUUUAAAUGUAGGAUGAGUCCUUUUUAUUACACAUAGAAAUAGCUACUGUAAAUAGCAAACUCUAACACUGUGCCUAAUUAGGAAAUAAAGGUAACCAUAAAUACAGUAAAAAUGAAACAAUGUUAUUAUGGUUUAACCUGAUAGUGUGGCUUGCAAGGCCCUGGGCCUGAAGCCUGGGCAAUAAGUGAGAGUUAGAAAGGUGUCAAAGACAUGAUAGCAGCAAACUGAGGCUUUGUACCCCACGGUAAAUAGGACUGAAAGCAAAUUCACAGGGAGCAACUGAUCCAUUCCACAACAGAAUGCUCCCUGUCAAUUCGCUUUCCAUUCUGUUGUGUCCUGUCUCCCAGCAGAGACUACAAACUCCCCAAAACCACUUACCCACCAGCUGCACGUGAGAAGCCAAAGGUAGUUUAUGUGAAAGGGCUUUGGAAAUAAUCACGCACCAAGUGAAGGCAGAGGACACACCUUGUCAGCUUAGUUCUCAGCAGCAAAUCAUCUCUUUUCCAGGAUAACCCUCCCUGAUUCUUAUUGAAAUCUCUUUGCUGACCACACUAAGCUCUUCUCUCUCAGGGGCAGUGGGAGCCGUGGAGAGUGGAAUAGACCAGCUGUCUGUGACCUGCGAGGGAGUCCAAUGUCGGAAUCACUCCCCAGCCAAAUGCACGGUUUUAAAAAAUCUAUUUAUUUAUUUAUGUAGAGACCAGGCUAUGAGACUGGCUAAUUUUUCGUAUUUUUGGAUAGAGACAGGAUUUCAUCGUGUUGCCCAGGCUGGUCUUGAACUCCUGGGCUCAAGCGAUCCACCUGCCUCGGCUUCCCAAAGUGCUCAGGAUUACAGGCGUGAGCCACUUCCCAGCUACUUGGGAGGCUGGGGCAUGAGAAUUGCUUUAACCCGGAAGGUGGAGUUUGCAGUGAGCCGAGAUCGUGUCACUGCACUCCAGCCUGGGCGACAGAGGGAGACUCUGUCUCAAAAAAAAAAAAAAGUCAAGGAGGGUUUCCCAGAGUGGCCACUUGAUUAGAGACCUAGCACAGGAGGAAGAGAUGGGCAGGGAGAGUGACGGGGAGCAGCACAGUCCCUGGGAGCCCGAAGUGGGUGGGCACAGGGCUCCCUAGGAGAAUGGAAGGACAUCUAUGAGCUGUAGCCCAAGAGGAAGAGGUCACUGGGGCUAGAUGCGGCAGACCCUCGCAGGCUUUGGGAAGGGCUUCAGAAUUCAGCCUGAGGGCAAUGGGGAGCCCUUUUGGGAUAUUAAACUUGAGUAAGAUAUGAGCAUAUUUGCAUCUUGAAAAAUCAUUAUGGGAAGAUGGCUGGGAAGAGAGGAGGAGUGGCAGAAGAAAGAUAGGUUGGAGACAAUUGAUUGCUCGAUGAUAUAAAAUGUUAAGUACCAUGAAUGAUGCUGUUAGGCUGGAAUGCGCCAAGCAUAAAGGUGGGGCAUGGCAUCAAAAGGUAGGUCAACAUAUUAAAUAAUUCCAUGUAUUGAAAUAUCCAGAAAAUAUAUAGACAGAUCUAUAGAGAUAGAAACUGGUCUGCCCAGGACUAGGGGUUGUCUAAGGAUAAGGAGCUUCUUUUUUGGAUGGUGAAAUAACCUAAAAUAUAUUGUGCCAUUGUUUGCACAACUUUGUGAAUAUAUUAAAAACCUGUUAAUUGUACUCACUAAAUGUCCUCCUUCUAAAUUAAGCUGUUCUUGACAAGAAAAGGAAAGAAACAAAGAAAAGAAGAGAAAAAAGGUCAAGGUUUGGUCCUGGGUGCUCAAAUGGCAGGCCACAGACAGGAAACACAGUUGUGAGGAAUUACAACAGCCUCCCGGCCAGAGCUGGAGAGGUGGAGCCCAGGUCCCCUCUAACACCCCUUCUCCUGGCCAGGUUGGAGUCCCGCCACAGGCCACCAGAGCGGAGCAGCGCAGCGCCCUGUCUCCCAGCCUGAGGUGCAGUGCUGCAUCUCUGGUCAGUUGGGAGUCUGAGAUGAAGCACUGUAGCUCAGGAAGAGAGAAGUUGUUCUGCAGCCAUCAGCCUGGAAGUGGUAAGUGCUGGGGGGUUGUGGGGGGCCAUAACAGGAAGGACAGAGUGUUUCCAGACUCCAUACUAUCAGCCACUUGUGAUGCUGGGGAAGUUCCUCUACACAAGUUCCCCUGGUGCCACGAUCUGCUUCACGAGUCUGGGCAUGUCCUGACUCCUCUGUGUACCCCAGUGUGUCCAUCUUAGCAUGAGGCGUUAGCAUUUCCCCAGCACCCUGCCUCUGCUUUCUCUUUCUGAGCCCAUGGCAGACACAGCUAAUCAGUAAAGGCAUAUAUUCUUUUUUUUUUGAGACACAGUCUCACUCCAUCACCCAGGCUGGAGUGCAGUGGCAUAAUCUCAGCUCACUGCAACCUCCUCCUCCCAGGGUCAAGCAAUUCUCGUGCCUCAGCCUCCCAAGUAGCUGAGAUUACAGGUGUGCGCCACCACACCUGGCUAAUUUUUGUAUUUUUAGUAGAGAUGGGGUUUCACUAUGUUGGCCAGGCUGGUCUCAAACUCCUGACUUCAGGUGAUCUGCCCGCCUCGGCCUCCCAAAGUGCUGGGAUUACAGGCAUGAGCCUCCACGCCCCGCCAGGCAUCCAUUCUUGAAGUGCUCAGAUGCAGCUUCAGAAUCCUCAACAAUGAGCCCUGGAAAGCCACUAGUACUGAUUCACAGCUGAAACUCAUUCAUCAUUUGUGGAUCAAACAAUUCCUAAAAACCCUUUCAGCCCUGAAGAUAAAAAUUCUGGCCUUUGAGUCAGGGUCUUCACUCUGUACUUCUAACCUUGGCUCCGGGGUAUUGCCGAAACCAGUCCAGGCACGUCACAAAUGUCUGACUUCUCCCAGAGGCUUCAGAAGCACAAUGAGCAGCAGAGGAGAGCCAUGGAGCCAAGCACAGUCUCAUUUAACCUCCCCAAAAGCUUGGGAAGUGGGUGGUGUUAUAGCCCCAUUUUACAGAUGAGAAAAACUGAGGCUUAUUUAAGCAGCUCACCUAAAGUCACAUAUUGAUUGUGCUGAGCUGAGAUUGUACCCUAAUCUGCCUUCAAAUCCAUGUUUUUACCCAUUGCAUGUGAUUAUGGAACCUGGGACCGAGGAGCAGGAGGAGAACAUUCUAAAUUCUGCUCCCAUCUUGUCUUUACAUCUCAGGUCACUUUUAGCAAAGACAGACCCGGACACUUGCCAUUAAUACUACAGGCUUCCUUCCUCCUACCCCCUUCCCCCAAUCUUAUUCAUCUCACCUCUCCAGUAGGUCGUGGACUCAUGCAUUUUAUAAUUAAAGAAGGCCAAGGCUCAGGGGUUAAGUGACUUACUGGAGGUUAUCAGAGAGGAAGUUGCCAAACCCAGGCUAGGAACUGAAUGGUUGGUUUAAAUCCACCCCUCUGGCAGGAGACUGGGGAAUACACAUGAGCCGUGCAGACAGCAGAGGGCAGUCCUGGGGGUGGGGGCGCCAGAGGGUUUCCGGUACUUUUCAGGGCAAUUGAAGUUCCGGUCACUACUCCCCCCCAGAGCAAUAAGCCACAUCCGGCGACGUGUGGCACCCCACCCUGGCUGCUACAGAUGGGGCUGGAUGCAGAAGAGAACUCCAGCUGGUCCUUAGGGACACGGCGGCCUUGGCGCUGAAGGCCACUCGCUCCCACCUUGUCCUCACGGUCCAGUUUUCCCAGGAAUCCCUUAGAUGCUAAGAUGGGGAUUCCUGGAAAUACUGUUCUUGAGGUCAUGGUUUCACAGCUGGAUUUGCCUCCUUCCCACCCCACAGUUGCCCCCCAAUGGGGCCUCGGCUGGCUCACAGGAUGAGGGUUCAAGAAGAAGGCUGUCCCUGGAGGUAAGAGGGCUUAUGAACCAUGUUCCAAACCUUUGCGUUGCUUUUCUUUCCAUCGUGUCUAUUUCAUAACAUCCCUGUGAGGCUGGAUGUGGGAACUUCAGCACUGCCGUACUCUUGGGAAAUUUGUCCAAGGCCACCCGGCUGAGCAGCGGUUGAACCAGGACACCAUCAGGCAUGCGUUUCUUGUCUCCACCACACCCUCAACCCACUUCCCAACGCGCCUUGCGACAGGGGCUGCGGUAUUGCAUCCACAUGACUGAUAAACUAGUAAACACACAUGAAUUCAUUUUAAAAGUGUAUUCAAUCAGUUAGGUAAACUAAAAACCUUAAGUCUUCGUUCGAUUUGGAAUGCAGCCAGAGAACAAAUGGAAAAUUUUUCAAGGUAGAGAAGAUGAAAACUCAGAACGCCCUCUUGUGGCAUCUCUACCCACCCUAGGAACACUAUGGCUCUUCCCCUACACAUGGUGAUUGCUAACCUUGCUACAAGACGUUGGACACACACACACACACACACACACACACACACACACUGAGGUUCCUUUUGCCCCCUCACUUUUGAGCCAGUGACUACUGAAACCCUCUCCAUUGUUGCACCACCAGCAAUGCCCCCAUCACUUCCUCUCAUUUACUUCCACAGGCUGGUUCAUCCUCAAAGCCCUCCUUACGUAGAUCUGUGGGAUCAGUGAGGCUCAGAGAGGUAAAGUGGCCAGCCCAAGGUCGCCCAGACAGCAAAAGGCAGGGCCAGCGCUGAUUUCAAGUCCAAUGGCCUAUGGCAAUUUCUUAGCCAAAAGCAAAAUCUACAAAAAUAAAAAGUCAGGCACAGUGGUGAGUGCCUACAGUCCCAGCUACUGAGGAGGCCGACGGGGGAGGACCACUUGAGCUUGGGAGUUCCUGGCUGCAGAGAGCUAUGAUUGUGCCUGUGAAUAGCCAAUGCACUCCAGCCUGAGCAAGAUAGGGAGACCCUGUCUCUAAAAAAUACCUAAAUAAUUUUAAAAGUCAGCCUCUCUGACUGCCUAUAGAGAAUGCUAACUAACUGAAUGACAGAAGACCUAAUGUAAUCCAGGUGCAAAAUCAGAACUUUCCGGCCGGGCGCGGUGGCUCACACCUGUAAUCCCAACACUUUGGGAGGCCCAGGCGGGUGGAUCACGAGGUCAGGAGUUCAAGACCGGCCUGCCCAACAUGGCAAAACCCCGUCUCUACUAAAAAUACAAAAAAUUAGCUGGGCAUGGUGGUGGCCACCUAUAAUCUCAGCUACUCAGGAGGCUGAGGCAGGAGAAUUGCUUGGACCCGGGAGGCAGAGGUUGCAGUGAGCUGAGAUCGCGCCACUGCACUCCAGCGUGGGGGACAAAAGCGAAACUCUGUCUCAAAAAAAAAAAAAUUAGAACUUUCCCCGUACUCUUGCUAGGGCUUUUCAUGGAGAUGUAGAAAUGGUAGUAAGUGCCAAGGCCCCAGAACCCUCAUGUUUGGGUCCGACUCCCACAUUGCCAGAGACUAGGCAGCUCACACAGGUGUCCCAAGCUGUCUUUCUCACAGGCCGCAUUGAAGGCAUUUAUGAAAUGAGACCCCCUCUUCCUCAUCCGUAGUGACAGGGCUGGCCUGACCGUGGAGAAAUCAGAUUUGAUCAUGAUAGCUUCCACUCCGUGACUGGUCACGAUCUGCCAGGCGCUGUGCUAAACACUUUCAUAGGCCUUGUCCCCCUCCAUCCUGAUAACACCCCAGUGAAGCAGGCCCUGCUCUUCACUCCACUCCACAAAGCCAAGGCUGAGAGAGGUUAACAGACUUACCUAAGGUCACACAGCUAAGAAGUCGUGAAGCUGGGAUCGAAUCAAGUCUGUGUUUAUGGGUUUAACUAUCAUGUUGUGGCCCCAACCCCAUUUGACCUAGCCUGGCUGGUGGGCCUUCUUGCAGUAGCUUCCCCUGGAGAAGAGGAAAAGCAAACCUUCAUUGAGACCCAAGCGGUCUCUCCUGUGCUCUGUGACAAUAAUAAAGUUCCAGCCCUUGGCUCCUGU